rnacentral:rRNA from 1 species
AGCAGCCGCGGUAAUUCCAGCUCCAAUAGCGUAUAUUAAAGUUGUUGUAGUUAAAAAGCUCGUAGUUGAAUUUCGGGAUCAAUAUGUCGGUCGUGCCUUGGUACGUACUGGUAUCAUUGGUCUCUCCUUUCUGACGAACCAUGAUGUCAUUAAUUUGGUGUUAUGGGAAGUUGGACUGUUACUUUGAAAAAAUUAGAGUGUUUAAAGCAAGCUAACGCUUGAAUACAUUAGCAUGGAAUAAUGAAAUAGGACGUUCGAUCCUAUUUUGUUGGUUUCUAGGAUUGACGUAAUGAUUAAUAGGGAUAGUUGGGGGCAUUAGUAUUCAAUUGUCAGAGGUGAAAUUCUUGGAUUUAUUGAAGACUAACUACUGCGAAAGCAUUUGCCAAGGAUGUUUUCAUUAAUCAAGAACGAAAGUUAGGGGAUCGAAGA